rnacentral:rRNA from 1 species
CGAAAACGAAUUCUCUCUUGAGUGGAUCCUGAGUACGACGGAGCACGUGAAAUUCCGUCGGAAUCUGGGAGGACCAUCUCCUAAGGCUAAAUACUCUCUAGUGACCGAUAGUGAACCAGUACCGUGAGGGAAAGGUGAAAAGUACCCCGGAAGGGGAGUGAAAGAGAACUUGAAACCGUGUGCUUACAAGUAGUCAGAGCCCGUUAAUGGGUGAUGGCGUGCCUUUUGUAGAAUGAACCGGCGAGUUACGAUCUGAUGCAAGGUUAAGCAGAAAAUGUGGAGCCGUAGCGAAAGCGAGUCUGAAUAGGGCGAAUGAGUAUUUGGUCGUAGACCCGAAACCAGGUGAUCUACCCUUGGUCAGGUUGAAGUUCAGGUAACACUGAAUGGAGGACCGAACCGACUUACGUUGAAAAGUGAGCGGAUGAACUGAGGGUAGCGGAGAAAUUCCAAUCGAACUUGGAGAUAGCUGGUUCUCUCCGAAAUAGCUUUAGGGCUAGCCUCAAGUGAUGAUUAUUGGAGGUAGAGCACUGUUUGGACGAGGGGCCCCUCUCGGGUUACCGAAUUCAGACAAACUCCGAAUGCCAAAUAAUUUAACUUGGGAGUCAGAAUGUGGGUGAUAAGGUCCAUAUUCGAAAGGGAAACAGCCCAGACCACCAGCUAAGGUCCCAAAAUAUAUGUUAAGUGGAAAAGGAUGUGGCGUUGCCCAGACAACUAGGAUGUUGGCUUAGAAGCAGCCAUCAUUUAAAGAGUGCGUAAUAGCUCACUAGUCGAGUGACACUGCGCCGAAAAUGUACCGGGGCUAAACAUAUUACCGAAGCUGUGGAUUGUCCUUUGGACAAUGGUAGGAGAGCGUUCUAAGGGCGUUGAAGCAUGAUCGCAAGGACAUGUGGAGCGCUUAGAAGUGAGAAUGCCGGUGUGAGUAGCGAAAGACGGGUGAGAAUCCCGUCCACCGAUUGACUAAGGUUUCCAGAGGAAGGCUCGUCCGCUCUGGGUUAGUCGGGUCCUAAGCUGAGGCCGACAGGCGUAGGCGAUGGAUAACAGGUUGAUAUUCCUGUACCACCAUUAUUCGUUUUAAGCGAUGGGGGGACGCAGUAGGAUAGGCGAAGCGUGCUGUUGGAGUGCACGUCCAAGCAGUGAGAUUGAGUGUUAGGCAAAUCCGGCACUCUUAAGAUUGAGCUGUGAUGGGGAGAGGAACUUGUUCCUCGAGUCGUUGAUUUCACACUGCCGAGAAAAGCCUCUAGCUAGAAUAACGGUGCCCGUACCGCAAACCGACACAGGUAGUCAAGAUGAGAAUUCUAAGGUGAGCGAGCGAACUCUCGUUAAGGAACUCGGCAAAAUGACCCCGUAACUUCGGGAGAAGGGGUGCUCUUUGAGGUUCACGCUUCGAAGAGCCGCAGUGAAUAGGCCCAAGCGACUGUUUAUCAAAAACACAGGUCUCUGCUAAACCGUAAGGUGACGUAUAGGGGCUGACGCCUGCCCGGUGCUGGAAGGUUAAGAGGAGUGGUUAGCGCAAGCGAAGCUACGAAUCGAAGCCCCAGUAAACGGCGGCCGUAACUAUAACGGUCCUAAGGUAGCGAAAUUCCUUGUCGGGUAAGUUCCGACCCGCACGAAAGGCGUAACGAUUUGGGCACUGUCUCAACGAGAGACUCGGUGAAAUCAUAGUACCGGUGAAGAUGCCGGUUACCCGCGACAGGACGGAAAGACCCCGUGGAGCUUUACUGUAGCCUGAUAUUGAAAUUCGGUACAGUUUGUACAGGAUAGGUAGGAGCCUUAGAAGCGUGAGCGCUAGCUUACGUGGAGGCAUUGGUGGGAUACUACCCUAA